UACGGGGGGAGCAAGCGUUGUUCGGAUUUACUGGGCGUAAAGGGCGCGUAGGCGGUCAGCACAAGUCAGUUGUGAAAUCUUCGGGCUUAACUCGGAAAGGUCAACUGAUACUGUGCGACUAGAGUGCGGAAGGGGCAACUGGAAUUCUCGGUGUAGCGGUGAAAUGCGUAGAUAUCGAGAGGAACACCUGCGGCGAAGGCGGGUUGCUGGGCCGACACUGACGCUGAUGCGCGAAAGCCAGGGGAGCGAACGGG
rnacentral:rRNA from 1 species